AGUGAACGCUGGCGGUAGGCCUAACACAUGCAAGUCGAACGGCAGCACAGUAAGAGCUUGCUCUUACGGGUGGCGAGUGGCGGACGGGUGAGGAAUGCAUCGGAAUCUACUUUUUCGUGGGGGAUAACGUAGGGAAACUUACGCUAAUACCGCAUACGACCUACGGGUGAAAGCAGGGGAUCUUCGGACCUUGCGCGAUUGAAUGAGCCGAUGUCGGAUUAGCUAGUUGGCGGGGUAAAGGCCCACCAAGGCGACGAUCCGUAGCUGGUCUGAGAGGAUGAUCAGCCACACUGGAACUGAGACACGGUCCAGACUCCUACGGGAGGCAGCAGUGGGGAAUAUUGGACAAUGGGCGCAAGCCUGAUCCAGCCAUACCGCGUGGGUGAAGAAGGCCUUCGGGUUGUAAAGCCCUUUUGUUGGGAAAGAAAAGCAGCAGGUUAAUACCCCGCUGUUCUGACGGUACCCAAAGAAUAAGCACCGGCUAACUUCGCG
rnacentral:rRNA from 1 species